GCGAGUGAAGAGGGACAAGCUCAAAUUUUAAAUCCGUCGGGUUACACCUGACCGAGUUGUAAUUCGAAGAGGCGUUUUCCGCGUUUUUGAUCAGUCCAAGUCCUUUGGGAUAGGGCAUCAUGGAGGGUGAGAAUCCCGUUCGGCUGAUCAGAUUCGCUUUACGAUACGUCAUCUAAGAGUCAAGUUGUUUGGGAAUGCAGCUUAAAAUGGGAGGUAAAUUUCUCCUAAGGCUAAAUAACGGCGAGAGACCGAUAGCGAACAAGUACCGUGAGGGAAAGAUGAAAAGAACUUUGAAAAGAGAGUUAAACAGUACGUGAAAUUGUUGAAAGGGAAACGAUUGAAGCCAGUCGUACCGGUGGGUAAUCAGCCUUUCGGCGUGAUUAUGUGGAGCGUGAGGAGUUAAACGCCCUCAUGGCCUGAAUAUUCGUGUUCUUUGGGUGUACUUACCCGCAUGGUAGGUUAACAUCAAUUUCGAACGUCAUAAAAUGGUUGGAGGAAUGUAGCUUCGAUCUCGUAUUGAAGUGUUAUAGACUCCGGCAGAUGUGAUGAUCGGGAUUGAGGAUUGCAACGGAUACCCUUCGGCUACCCGUCUGAUCUCUGAAAGUUGCUCUGGUGCCGAAAGCUCGCUUACGGUCAUCAAAGUUGACGUUCAACAGGUUAGAACGGGAUAAAUUCGUUAAGGAUGU
rnacentral:rRNA from 1 species